AUCACGUGGGGUUCUUGUUAAAAUGCAGAUUCUGACUCCAUUGGUCUGGGGUGGAGCCUAAGAUUCUGCGUUUCCAACAAGCUCCCAGGUGAUGCUGA
rnacentral:pre_miRNA from 1 species